rnacentral:rRNA from 1 species
UCAGGAUUAACGCUGGCGGCGUGCCUAAUACAUGCAAGUCGAAUGGUAGUAGCAAUACAAACCAUGGCGAACGGGUGAGUAACACGUAGGUAACCUGCUUUAAGACGAGGAUAACCAUUGGAAACGAUGGAUAAUACUGGAUAGGACAUCAUAAAGGGCAUCCUUAGAUGUUUAAAGAUUAUAAUGUCACUUAGGAGAGGGGCCUGCGGCGCAUUAGCUAGUUGGUGAGGUAAGAGCCCACCAAGGCGAUGAUGCGUAGCCGGACUGAGAGGUUGAACGGCCACAAUGGAACUGAGAACGGUCCAUACUCCUACGGGGAGGCAGCAGUAGGGAAUUUUCGGCAAUGGGCGCAAGCCUGAACCCGAGCAACGCCGCGUGAACGAAGAAGUUAUUCGUAAUGUAAAGUUCUUUUAUCUGGGAAGAAAAAACAAAUUGACGGUACCAGAUGAAUAAGCUCCGGCUAACUACGUGCCAGCAGCCGC